UAGGGAAUCUUCGGCAAUGGGGGCAACCCUGACCGAGCAACGCCGCGUGAGUGAAGAAGGUUUUCGGAUCGUAAAGCUCUGUUGUAAGUCAAGAACGGGUGUGAGAGUGGAAAGUUCACACUGUGACGGUAGCUUACCAGAAAGGGACGGCUAACUACGUGCCAGCAGCCGCGGUAAUACGUAGGUCCCGAGCGUUGUCCGGAUUUAUUGGGCGUAAAGCGAGCGCAGGCGGUUUGAUAAGUCUGAAGUUAAAGGCUGUGGCUCAACCAUAGUUCGCUUUGGAAACUGUCAAACUUGAGUGCAGAAGGGGAGAGUGGAAUUCCAUGUGUAGCGGUGAAAUGCGUAGAUAUAUGGAGGAACACCGGUGGCGAAAGCGGCUCUCUGGUCUGUAACUGACGCUGAGGCUCGAAAGCGUGGGGAGCGAACAGGAUUAGAUACCCUGGUAGUCCACGCCGUAAACGAUGAGUGCUAGGUGUUGGAUCCUUUCCGGGAUUCAGUGCCGCAGCUAACGCAUUAAGCACUCCGCCUGAGGAGUACGACCGCAAGGUUGAAACUCUAAAGUGAAUUGAC
rnacentral:rRNA from 1 species